AUACGGAGGGUGCAAGCGUUGUUCGGAAUCACUGGGCGUAAAGGGCGCGCAGGCGGUUUGGUAAGUCAGAUGUGAAAGCCCACGGCUCAAGCGUGGAAGUGCAUUUGAAACUGCCAGACUUGAGUACCAGAGGGGAAAGUGGAAUUCCCGGUGUAGAGGUGAAAUUCGUAGAUAUCGGGAGGAAUACCGGUGGCGAAGGCGACUUUCUGGCUGGAUACUGACGCUGAGGCGCGAAAGCGUGGGGAGCAAACAGGAUUAGAAACCCUAGUAGUCC
rnacentral:rRNA from 1 species